rnacentral:rRNA from 1 species
CAGCCGCCGCGGUAAUACGAAGGGUGCAAGCGUUAAUCGGAAUUACUGGGCGUAAAGCGUGCGUAGGCGGUUUGUUAAGUCUGCUGUGAAAUCCCCGGGCUCAACCUGGGAAUGGCAGUGGAUACUGGCAAGCUAGAGUGUGUCAGAGGAUGGUGGAAUUCCCGGUGUAGCGGUGAAAUGCGUAGAGAUCGGGAGGAACAUCAGUGGCGAAGGCGGCCAUCUGGGACAACACUGACGCUGAGGCACGAAAGCGUGGGGAGCAAACAGGAUUAGAUACCCGAGUAGUCCCUGUCUCUUAUAC